CAAAGUGAAAAGACUCUAUAUAAAAGAGAUGAGCUUGACGGCAAAACAGACAAUCUGCUUUUGUCGAUCACUCGUAUCACUGCUGUCCGGAAGGUGUAUUCUUAAAGAUGAACUUCUUGCUAGUGAUCCUCGUGGCCAUGCCUCUUCUCGUCCACGACAGCGAAAGUUUUAGCGUCCCUGCAGUAGGGCAAUUACCGACUGGAGGAACUCUAAUGCAGAAUAUCCCAGGUGUCAAACAAGGCACGGAUAUCAUGACCAAUGCAAUUAACACGUUUACUGGUCGUGACGGUAGGCAAAGUUCUGAGAAUCAACAAUCACAGCCUUCAACGGCUCAGCAGUAUCAACAAACACGGUAGACACAGUCUGCAGUGUAAGGAGCACCAAAUCCAUGUUGUUGUGACGGACACUUGCAGCAUCCACUUGCUAAUAUCCAAUAAAUCGCAUUGGUCAAUA